AAUACGAAAUCAAAACCGUAGACAGCGGGUGCGAAAGCUUAAUUUCCCGCCGAGGUACAAUAUAAAAAUAUUGACCUUGUUCGUCUGCGAGCGGACAAGGUUUUUUUAUGG
rnacentral:sRNA from 1 species